CUUGCUGCAAGUUGUUGCAACAAGACUAAUACAGGCUGUUCGUAACAAGUUGCUACGAGCUUGUUGUCGUCAACUUGUUAACAACUUGUUACGUGCAGACGAUAUCAGACUUGUUGGAACAACUUGUUGCGAGUCUGUUGGCCUCAUCAACCUUGUUACAAGAUGAUAACAACUUGUUCCAGACUUGUCAACAACUGGGAACAAGCAUGCGAACACAUCUUCUUGACAAGUUGUGAGAUUUUUACGCGU